GCCUAAGCUCCACAGGAUAUUUUCCAUUAUUGGCUCCCCACCACACAUAUAGAGUUGUUUUGACACUGGUCAGUACGUGCAUGUGUUCACUUGUGCCAAGGAUGCAAUAUAGUGUACAUAAUUUCACACCUAAUUGCACAAAAAUGUUGAGUUUACUGCAAAUAAUGCUAAAAUUUCACACAUAACUUUUUUGUGCAAAAUUUCACACAUAAUAAAAUUAUCGCACAAGAGCACUUCAGUAUGAGUUUGCUGAAAGGUUAACGUUUGGGGCGGGCGCGCCGGCUGAAUGCUCGGCCGGUCGCGGCUCGCUAGCGACGCAAGUGCGUGGGGCCACGCUAGCCACACGUCCCCGUGACCCAACUAGCACUACCUCCCAUCAGUUUUUUAUUCCUUCCCCUCCUUAUCUAUCUACUCCCUUUCUUCCAGCAUCUUCUUCCUCAUCACGAACACAUCUCACCAGAAAAGUCCAUCCACCGUCCGACUUGAGCUGUCGUGCUCUAGUUCCAUACCAGGCGUCCACGAGCUGGUUUUUGAGGGGGCCGGGUAGAGUUGCGAGAGUGGGAGGUGGAGGGGAGCUGGCCUACACCAAGAUAGUGAGAGGCGGAGGGGUGGCACAGCAGGCCGCAAGCUGCGAUGGUGCCAGUACGUAAUGCAGCCGGCGAGAUGGGGAGCUGCAACCCCUGGCUAGCGGAGCUACAAUCAAGGCAUGGUCGAGCUGCAUCCAGUGACGGCCGCCAGAUAACUAGCUACAAAGGGCGGUUCCAGGAGCUGCAAUCGCCCGUUGGUCGAGCUGCAUACCGCGACGCACCCGACGACGAGCUGCAACCGUGUAGUACAAGCUAAUGGAGGGGGCGGCGAUGACGAGGUGCAACAGAUCUUUUUUGCGGUGGCGACGGUAUUGUGAAUUUGCUGCAACCGACAGCAGGAAACCUUCUGAUGGCGCUGGGAUAUUUUGUUGCAACCAUGGGGGUGCCCUGGAACUGCGGCUGUUCGGGAUCGAUAAUGGCGAGCAGCGGCAAGCUGGCAAGGUCAUCAGCAUUGGGUUUUUUUUUUGAGACAAGGUCAUCAGCAUUGGGUGAUGUCGGGGGGCGGGGCGGGAAGGGGAUUCACGAUGUUGGUGUGGCCCUGGUGCGCCGGCGCUUGGGGGAAGAAAGAAAUAAUUAAAGGGGGAAGGAACAAGACGACACAAGUGACAGAUCGAAUGGCUGCCUACAGCUAUAUCGUAUGGUUGUGGUGUGACCUGCUCAAAUUUGGGCCGGCGCGCCGGCGCCUAUCAGUUUACAGGAUUUUAGCAAUAUAAACAAAUAGGAUUUUUCAGAUGACAAACAUGGAUAAAAGCCGCAUAAAUACAUGUAUUUUCUAGACAUCAAUCUAGUUCUAAUGAAGCUCCUGAAGAAACAAUUUUCAACACAUUGGAAUCUUUGUGCACAGCUGGUGAUUGGUUGAGUAGAACAAAAACAUAUAUACUCUGCUUCGAAGCAUUUCACCUACAAAAUGAUGCAAUACUUGGUCUUUAAUCCAGAAGACGUCACGUGGAUCUCACUAGUCGUAGACCCAAUACCCACUAUCAGAUAAUAAUCUAGUCUGUUUUAUCUUUGUUGUAUUUUGGCAUGCACCAAGUUUUUAUGCUUAAUUCUGAUGGUCUUCGUCACCUCUCACCUGACUUUGUGUGCGCCGUAGUGUGGCGCUGUCAGUUAAUUUACUUUCUAACACCAGGUUCAGUCUUGUUGUCUUGUAAGAACAAAUCAUUCGGAAACUCUGAAGAUUGGUCAGUCCCUUCCUUGGGUUGAAGAUUAUCAUAACUCUGAAGAAAGCGAAUGAUUCGGACAGAGCACAUUACUUUUUGGCCUAUUUUGUCAAAUUAUCAAGCUGCGAACAAGUAUCCUCUCGAAACAUACCGACAGGCAAGUAACGAUACAGCUUCACCUAGUUACGUCGUUCAUGUGGAGUAAUAGUAUAAAACUACUUCAAUUCGAGAUAGAGUUCCACUACAAAAUCUCAGCUAUUUUGUGACGUUUUUCUUGUGUCAUGUUAAAUUGUUUUAAUUUCAUAACAGAAAAUGGUCGGGUGCCGUUUUCCGCCGUUACCCCAAUCGUCAUUGAAGCAUCGCCAUAAAAAAUAAAACCUUGACGGCAUCACUUCCUCCGUCACGCAAUAUCGUGUCUUUACCGACAAACCCAAAUUUGUCACUAGAAUUGUGACCAUAUACGGCCUACUGGAGAUAUGUCCUAGAGGCAAUCAUGUAUGUAUGAUGAUAUUUUCUAUGUGUUUAUAAAUAAAGAUAAUCCUUGGAUAUUGUCAAUAA